rfam:Danio rerio chromosome 4, GRCz11 reference primary assembly.
GCUGUGAUUGUAUAGUGGUUAGUGUUCUGCAUUGUGGCCGCAGCAACCCUGGUUCAAAUCCAUAUCAUGGCA